ACGGGGAAUUAGGGUUCGAUUCCGGAGAGGGAGCCUGAGAAACGGCUACCACAUCCAAGGAAGGCAGCAGGCGCGCAAAUUACCCAAUGCCAAUUCGGCGAGGUAGUGACAAUAAAUAACAAUGCAGGGCCUUUAUGGUCUUGCAAUUGGAAUGAGUACAAUUUAAAUCCCUUAACGAGGAUCAAUUGGAGGGCAAGUCUGGUGCCAGCAGCCGCGGUAAUUCCAGCUCCAAUAGCGUAUAUUAAAGUUGCUGCAGUUAAAACGACCGAAGUCAAACCUCGGCCUUUAGGUUGGGUGGCCUAGUCUUCAUUGACUAAGCUCGCUUUAGCCAAGGCUUACAUCUGGCAGUGGCAUUUCUUUCGGGGGAUGUCUACCGGCCAGAUCUUUACCAUGAGCAAAUCAGAGUGUUUAAAGCAGGCUCAAUGGCUUGAAUGUGUUAGCAUGGAAUAAUGAAAUAUGGCUUGGGUCCUUAUUUCGUUGGUUUAUACGACCUUUGCAAUGAUAAAUAGGAACGGUUGGGGGGAUUUGUAUUUGGCCGCUAGAGGUGAAAUUCUUAGAUUGGCUAAAGACACACUACUGCGAAAGCAUUUUACCCAGGACGUUUCCGUUGAUCAAGGUCUAAAGUUAGGGGAUCGAAGACGAUUAGAUACCGUCGUAGUCCUAACCAUAAACUAUGCCGUCUAGGGAUCGGGCUUGCUUACUGGCUUGCUCGGAACCUUAGCG
rnacentral:rRNA from 1 species